rnacentral:rRNA from 1 species
GACGAACGCUGGCGGCGUGCUUAACACAUGCAAGUCGAACGGAAAGGCCCUGCUUUUUUGGGGUGCUCGGGUGGCGAACGGGUAAGUAACACGUAAGUAACCGGCCCUUGACUUUGGGAUAACUUAAGGAAACUGGACCUAAUACCAGAUCGGAGCUCAUGCUGCAGGGUGGGGGGUGGAACGUUUAGGCGGUUGGGAAUGGACGCGCGGCUUAUCAGCUUGUUGGUGGGGUAGUGGCUUACCCAUGCUUGGCCGGGUAGCCGGCCUGAGAGGGUGACCGGCCACAUUCGGACUGAGAUACGGCCCAGACUACUACGGGAGGCAGUAGUGGGGAAUAUUGCACAAUCGGCGGACGUCUGAUGAAGCAACGUGGCGUGUGUUAUGCCGGCCGUCGGGUUGUAAACCGCUUCCGCCUGUGACGAAGCGUGUGUGACGGUAAUGGGUAAAGAAGCACCGGCUAACUACGUG